UACGAAGGGGGCUAGCGUUGCUCGGAUUGACUGGGCGUAAAGGGCGCGUAGGCGGUACUUCAAGUCAGGCGUGAAAGCCCCGGGCUCAACCUGGGAACCGCGCUUGAGACUGGAGAACUAGAGUUCGGGAGAGGAUGGUGGAAUUCCCAGUGUAGAGGUGAAAUUCGUAGAUAUUGGGAAGAACACCGAUGGCGAAGGCGGCCCACUGGAUCGGUACUGACGCUGAGGUGCGAAAGCGUGGGGAGCAAACAGG
rnacentral:rRNA from 1 species